rnacentral:rRNA from 2 species
GCGUUGGCCCAACUGAUUGAACGUGCUUGCACGGACUUGACGUUGGUUUACCAGCGAGUGGCGGACGGGUGAGUAACACGUAGGUAACCUGCCCCAAAGCGGGGGAUAACAUUUGGAAACAGAUGCUAAUACCGCAUAACAAUUUGAAUCGCAUGAUUCAAAUUUAAAAGAUGGCUUCGGCUAUCACUUUGGGAUGGACCUGCGGCGCAUUAGCUUGUUGGUAGGGUAACGGCCUACCAAGGCUGUGAUGCGUAGCCGAGUUGAGAGACUGAUCGGCCACAAUGGAACUGAGACACGGUCCAUACUCCUACGGGAGGCAGCAGUAGGGAAUCUUCCACAAUGGGCGCAAGCCUGAUGGAGCAACACCGCGUGAGUGAAGAAGGGUUUCGGCUCGUAAAGCUCUGUUGUUAGAGAAGAACGUGCGUGAGAGCAACUGUUCACGCAGUGACGGUAUCUAACCAGAAAGUCACGGCUAACUACGUGCCAGCAGCCGCGGUAAUACGUAGGUGGCAAGCGUUAUCCGGAUUUAUUGGGCGUAAAGCGAGCGCAGGCGGUUUGAUAAGUCUGAUGUGAAAGCCUUUGGCUUAACCAAAGAAGUGCAUCGGAAACUGUCAGACUUGAGUGCAGAAGAGGACAGUGGAACUCCAUGUGUAGCGGUGGAAUGCGUAGAUAUAUGGAAGAACACCAGUGGCGAAAGCGGCUGUCUGGUCUGCAACUGACGCUGAGCUCGAAAGCAUGGGUAGCGAACAGGAUUAGAUACCCUGGUAGUCCAUGCCGUAAACGAUGAGUGCU